ACUUAAAUAGCUUAAAGUUAGAGUAUAACACUGAAGAUGUUAGGGUAAUCAUAUGAUUUUUAAGUA
rnacentral:tRNA from 1 species